CCAGUAUGGUGUGCAGCCUGGGUGGAUGUUUAAACAAAAAGAAGAGGAAAGAGGGCUGGAACAAACAAAAGGGAGUAGCUGCUACAACAGUCAUGGAAAUGCUUGCGGGAAUCCGUGAGGAUAUCCGUGCCGUUAAGGAACGUUCUGGGCAGAAAGACGUGAAGACUGAUUCCUGUGCUGGUUUCAACAGUUGAGGCCCCAAACCUUCUUGACAAAUCCCUCAAAUCUCUGGAGGAAAGGCUGAAACUCAUCAAUGGCUUUUCCGAAGUGGGAGGAGUAUACAUGAAGGCCAAGGUGAAGAGGGACGUGGAGAAACAAGAGAGAAAAGUGGCGUUUUCAGCGUCGCUCUCAGCAGGUGAAGCUGGUCAUAUUGGACCAUACAGCACUUUAUUUCCUCUGGUCUACAGACACGUCUUCACCAACAUCGGCAAAGCUUACAACCCAGCUACAGUGGUUUGGAGAAUGUUGUCCUGAGAGAGAUAUCCAUCCACCACUAUCAUACGAAGGUAUGAUGAGAGGCUGUACAUCUGCAGUGUGUUGGCUGAGCGUUGUUCAGCAGUGUUUCUGGUGCAAGCUCCUAAAUCAAUCAAAAGCGAUGAUGCGCAACUGUAUCAGCCAAGUCUGACAAAUGGAUUAAAGAAUAUAAAGGACCGUGUAAACGACGUAAGAGGCUGGACGUUGUAACUUCCUCCUUCUAAACAAUAGCAGAAGUGGGGAAAACCCAAGAACCCCACAACCCGAACCAGGCAAGAAUACUUCCGGUUCCAUUAACAGAUGACCAUCUUGGUCUUGUGCGAGUUGGUGAGAUUUCUGCCUUUUGAAAUUGAUCACUGAUGAUACCUCCUGCUGAACACUCAGAUGGUCAACAUAAAUCCAAACUUUAUUUUCAGGACUUUCAUUCUGUUCAUGACAUACACACCAUUCCUAAUGUAGACAGAUCGAAUAAAGAUUGAAGUGCUGUCACUAACAAGACAAACAUUAUUUCCAGGACGAAACGCUUGUAUUCCGCACCCGGUAAGCGUAUCCGCAGGACCGGCAUGGUCUGGGCAUGCUAUUUCUGACUGCGACACGUGUGCCGUGUUACAUACUAAUUUUCCAAGUUUCAAUGUUGGUUCAUGCCAUAACGUAACCUAGCCAAAGACCACUCAGUGUUGUACACCUUGCCUGCUAACUUGUGACCAAACAUUAUAACGCCUUUUAAAAUUACCCUGAUGUGUUAAACUUUGUUACAUCAUUUCUAGGGGAAAUUCCCAAAGCAUUAUGUGGGAUUGUGAUGCAGCUUAAUCAGUUAAGUCAGUCAUACAGGCCAAAAUCGACUAAAUUUUGCAGCUAAUACGAUACAAGACAUGCAAUUGAGAGGUUUGCAAACGACACCGCUCACUCUUUAGGUAUUAUUUCUA